AUUGAACGCUGGCGGCAUGCCUUACACAUGCAAGUCGAACGGCAGCACGGGUGCCUGCACCUGGUGGCGAGUGGCGAACGGGUGAGUAAUACAUCGGAACAUGUCCUGUAGUGGGGGAUAGCCCGGCGAAAGCCGGAUUAAUACCGCAUACGAUCCACGGAUGAAAGCGGGGGACCUUCGGGCCUCGCGCUAUAGGGUUGGCCGAUGGCUGAUUAGCUAGUUGGUGGGGUAAAGGCCUACCAAGGCGACGAUCAGUAGCUGGUCUGAGAGGACGACCAGCCACACUGGGACUGAGACACGGCCCAGACUCCUACGGGAGGCAGCAGUGGGGAAUUUUGGACAAUGGGCGAAAGCCUGAUCCAGCAAUGCCGCGUGUGUGAAGAAGGCCUUCGGGUUGUAAAGCACUUUUGUCCGGAAAGAAAUCCUUGACUCUAAUACAGUCGGGGGAUGACGGUACCGGAAGAAUAAGCGCCGGCUAACUACGUG
rnacentral:rRNA from 1 species